UACGUAGGGGGCAAGCGUUGUCCGGAAUCAUUGGGCGUAAAGAGCGUGUAGGCGGCCAGAUAAGUCCGCUGUGAAAUCUCGAGGCUCAACUUCGAGCUGUCGGUGGAAACUGUCUGGCUAGAGUCCGGAAGAGGAGAAUGGAAUUCCUGGUGUAGCGGUGAAAUGCGCAGAUAUCUGGAGGAACACCGGUGGCGAAGGCGGCAUCCUGGACCGACACUGACGCUGAGGCGCGAAAGCUAGGGUAGCAAACGGG
rnacentral:rRNA from 1 species